rnacentral:rRNA from 1 species
AGAGACCGGCGCACGGGUGCGUAACGCGUAUGCAAUCUACCUUUUACAGAGGGAUAGCCCAGAGAAAUUUGGAUUAAUACCUCAUAGUAUAGCUGAAUCGCAUGAUUCUACUAUUAAAGUCACAACGGUAAAAGAUGAGCAUGCGUCCCAUUAGCUAGUUGGUAAGGUAACGGCUUACCAAGGCUACGAUGGGUAGGGGUCCUGAGAGGGAGAUCCCCCACACUGGUACUGAGACACGGACCAGACUCCUACGGGAGGCAGCAGUGAGGAAUAUUGGACAAUGGGCGCAAGCCUGAUCCAGCCAUGCCGCGUGCAGGAUGACGGUCCUAUGGAUUGUAAACUGCUUUUAUACGAGAAGAAACACUGCUUCGUGAAGCAGCUUGACGGUAUCGUAAGAAUAAGGAUCGGCUAACUCCGUGCCAGCAGCCGCGGUAAUACGGAGGAUCCAAGCGUUAUCCGGAAUCAUUGGGUUUAAAGGGUCCGUAGGCGGUUUAAUAAGUCAGUGGUGAAAGCCCAUCGCUCAACGGUGGAACGGCCAUUGAUACUGUUAAACUUGAAUUAUUAGGAAGUAACUAGAAUAUGUAGUGUAGCGGUGAAAUGCUUAGAGAUUACAUGGAAUACCAAUUGCGAAGGCAGGUUACUACUAAUGGAUUGACGCUGAUGGACGAAAGCGUGGGUAGCGAACAGGAUUAGAUACCCUGGUAGUCCACGCCGUAAACGAUGGAUACUAGCUGUUGGAAGCAAUCUCAGUGGCUA